rnacentral:rRNA from 1 species
UGAGGAAUAUUGGUCAAUGGACGAGAGUCUGAACCAGCCAAGUAGCGUGCAGGAUGACGGCCCUAUGGGUUGUAAACUGCUUUUGUUUGGGAAUAAUCGACAUUACGUGUAAUGUUUUGCAUGUACCAUUCGAAUAAGGACCGGCUAAUUCCGUGCCAGCAGCCGCGGUAAUACGGAAGGUCCAGGCGUUAUCCGGAUUUAUUGGGCGUAAAGCGCGCGCAGGCGGUCUCUUAAGUCCAUCUUAGAAGUGCGGGGCUUAACCCCGUGAGGGGAUGGAAACUGGGAGACUGGAGUAUCGGAGAGGAAAGUGGAAUUCCUAGUGUAGCGGUGAAAUGCGUAGAUAUUAGGAAGAACACCGGUGGCGAAGGCGACUUUCUGGACGAAAACUGACGCUGAGGCGCGAAAGCGUGGGGAGCAAACAGG